rnacentral:rRNA from 1 species
UACGUAGGGGGCAAGCGUUGUCCGGAUUUAUUGGGCGUAAAGAGCUCGUAGGCGGUUCCGUAAGUCGUGAAGUCAAAUCUCUGGGCUCAACCCAGAAUCGCUUCCGAUACUGCGGUGACUGGAGUCCGGUAGGGGAGUGUGGAAUUCCUGGUGUAGCGGUGAAAUGCGCGGAUAUCAGGAGGAACACCAACAGCGAAGGCAGCACUCUGGGCCGGUACUGACGCUGAGGAGCGAAAGCAUGGGGAGCGAACAGG